AGGACGAACGCUGGCGGCGUGCUUAACACAUGCAAGUCGAGCGGAAAGGCCCUUCGGGGUACUCGAGCGGCGAACGGGUGAGUAACACGUGAGCAAUCUGCCCUUAGCUCCGGGAUAGCUCCGGGAAACCGGAAUUAAUACCGGAUAUGACUAUGGCCGACAUCAGCCAUGGUGGAAAGUUUUUCGGCUAGGGAUGAGCUCGCGGCCUAUCAGCUAGUUGGUGGGGCAACGGCCCACCAAGGCGACGACGGGUAGCCGGCCUGAGAGGGCGACCGGCCACACUGGGACUGAGACACGGCCCAGACUCCUACGGGAGGCAGCAGUGGGGAAUAUUGCGCAAUGGGCGAAAGCCUGACGCAGCGACGCCGCGUGGGGGAAGAAGGCCUUCGGGUUGUAAACCCCUUUCAGCAGGGACGAAGCGAGAGUGACGGUACCUGCAGAAGAAGCGCCGGCUAACUACGCGCCAGCAGCCGC
rnacentral:rRNA from 1 species